rnacentral:rRNA from 1 species
GAGUUUGAUCCUGGCUCAGGAUGAACGCUAGCGACAGGCCUAACACAUGCAAGUCGAGGGGCAGCACAAUGGUAGCAAUACUAUGGUGGCGACCGGCGCACGGGUGAGUAACACGUAUGCAACCUACCUGUAAGAGGGGAAUAACCCGGAGAAAUUCGGACUAAUACCGCAUAAUACUGCUGAACCGCAUGGUUCGGCAUUUAAACAUUUAUGGCUUACAGAUGGGCAUGCGUAUGAUUAGCUAGUUGGUGAGGUAACGGCUCACCAAGGCAACGAUCAUUAGGGGUUCUGAGAGGAAGGUCCCCCACACUGGUACUGAGACACGGACCAGACUC